UGGAAUGAGAGACAAACAUGAUAGUAAGAAUGACAAAACAUAAUCCUAAAAAUGGCAAAAAAAUACAAAAUGGGUAUGAUACACAAAAUGGGCAAAAGUAUGGUAAGAUGGGCAAAGGAGAGAAAAGACACAGAGGCCUACGGAGACAAAGACUAAUUCAGGGGGAGGGAGUGCAAAAUGCGUCUUCACCCUUGUAGCCAAAAAUUAUUGCAUUGUUCUGAUGCCCAGAAAGAAUUAAAGUCCAAUCAGUAGAAGAACACUCAGGUCAGUUAAAAUGAGAUUUGCUGAAGUUCAAAGGUUCUUAUAAAGCAAGAUAUUCUCCCAUUCUGCUAAAUAAACAAAAACGUGCAUCUAAAUAGAGACUACCUUAUACAGGUUUAUUUACUAAAUUGAGAAUUCAAAAAUAAUUCAAGGUAUACUUAAGGCCAAAG